ACACUCCGCGCCCUGUCAGGUGCCGGCGACAAUCGCCGGUUAAACGGGAAUCGGGUGAACCCUGAGGUGAUCCCCGAGCUGCCCCCGCAACGGUAAAUCGUGACGACGCUGCUUCCACAUGCCACUGGCCCACGGGCCGGGAAGGCGAAGCAGACGAGCGAUGAGCCCGGAGACCGGCCUGGCCCAGCAGUGCGGA
rnacentral:ncRNA from 2 species